rnacentral:miRNA from 1 species
CAACAUUUAUUCUGCUCAAAGUAGACCCACUGAAAUUAAUGUUAGUCGUGUCCAUUAAUUUCAGUGGGUCUACUUUGAGUAGAACUGAUAUUA